rnacentral:lncRNA from 1 species
GCAAGCGCCGCUGCUUUCCGAGCUGCCUGCUCACUGUGCGCACCUCGCUGGGGGGUGCUGCUGUGUUCCUGAGGCUUCCAGGGAAGGCAGUGGGCGAAGGUCUGUACCGUGCUAAGAUUGAGUCUGAGGAACUGACUGAGCAAAGAAGACAGCUCAAGCCGGCUGUCUCGCUGCAGGAGCCGGUGGACGCGGGGGAGCCUCGGUAGGUGAGGGCGGCGCGGGGGUAGCUGGGCUCCGACGCGGGCGCCUGAGGGGAGCGUCCCCCGACUGCAGGAGGACUGGCGCGCCCGGGAUGCGGUGCCGCGUGUCCCGGCGCUGUGGCUGUUGUAAGGCUGAGUGGAGGUUUUGCAGGGCUGCUUCGCCCUGGUGGCUCUUGGCUUCCUGGCUCGGCUCAGUGAAGGGAGUGAAACCCCUCGGGUCCCGGCGUGGUGCGGGUGCAGGAAGAGACUCCUGCCUCAGUUUCGUGUGAGCCGCGUCCCAAGCCCAGCCCUGCACAGAUCCUUUCAGGCAGUUUCCAUCCUCUCCGCGCUCGGGGUUGAGUUUCCGCGUUUGGAAUGCUCGGUUUGAGGCGCAUGGCCACCGCGCUGGCUGUGUCGGGAGACAGUGCCCAGGGAUGAUGUUCGAGAAAGUGGAGAGGCUGAGGUCGCUGGCAACUCGGAGACUUUGAAGAUACCACGGUUCCCUUCAAGUUUAAAAAUGAUGUUCCCUUAUCAGUUUUCAUGUAUGGACUGAGUACUGAUUAUAACUGUGUAAUGCUGGAUGCCAUUGAAGAGUGGCCAACAAAAUGGAAAUGAAAGAAACUGCUAAACAGGAUACACUGUGGCAAAUGAGCUCAACUAGCAAACCCGUGUUGAAUACUCGUGAAGUCAAUCCUUUGAAGAAAUUCACCAUUCCUAAGAUCAGGAGGACAGCUGAGAAAGUUUACUUGUCACCUUGUUACACCAAUAGUAGAGAGUAUAGUUUUAUACAUGAUACUCUUAACCAGUGCAGGCUUGAUGUAAACUGUGAUCUGCAGUCGUUAUGGCAGUUUGGGGAUACAAAACUGGUUCACAAUGAGGAACUGGAAAAAAAUUUUACUGCUAAGAGAGGUCAGAGAUGCGUGAAAGUGGAAGACAUUGCAGGGAACUUGAAGAACAGUUCUGCUUUUUAGCACUUCCCCAGAGUGAUGUAGCCCAGAUAUAUCAGAAUGGAAUAAGUACCAGAGCAUCUACAUUGAAGAUACUAGGAAAUCCUCUUCUUGGAAUUUAUAUGUUUAGACAUGUUGAUAUUGCCUUGAAUUAUUCUCAUAGUCAAA